rnacentral:tRNA from 1 species
GUGUACGUUUAGCCUGUGGUAGACGCACUGGAUUUAGGUUCCAGCGCCUCGCGGCGUGAGAGUUCGAGUCUCUCCUUUCGCACCA